UACGAAGGGGGCUAGCGUUGCUCGGAAUCACUGGGCGUAAAGCGCACGUAGGCGGAUCUUUAAGUCAGGGGUGAAAUCCCGGAGCUCAACUCCGGAACUGCCUUUGAUACUGAGGGUCUCGAGUUCGGGAGAGGUGAGUGGAACUGCGAGUGUAGAGGUGAAAUUCGUAGAUAUUCGCAAGAACACCAGUGGCGAAGGCGGCUCACUGGCCCGAUACUGACGCUGAGGUGACG
rnacentral:rRNA from 1 species